rnacentral:rRNA from 1 species
UUCAUUAGCCAUAUCACCCUGCAGCCAAAGACUCACUGAAGCUGAGCAGGGCUGAGCCUGGUCAGUACCUGGAUGGGAGACCACAUGAGAAAACUUGGUUGCUGUUGGAA